rnacentral:rRNA from 1 species
ACCUGCGGAAGGAUCAUCG